rfam:Homo sapiens chromosome X, GRCh38 reference primary assembly.
GCCGGGUGUGGUGGCUUACACCUGUAAUCCCAGCACUUUGGGAGGCCGAGGUGGGUGGAUCACCUGAGGUCAGGAGUUCGAGACCAGCCUGACCAACAUGGUGAAACCCUACCUCUA